rnacentral:ncRNA from 1 species
GUGCAUUUAUCAGACCAAAAAAACGGGCCGCGUCUUCGGGCGCGUUCGCCUUGGUGACUCUGGAUAACUUUGCGGAUCGCACGGUCUAGCACCGGCGACGGAUCAUUCAAGUGUCUGCCCUAUCAACUUUCGUCGGUACGGUAUUUGCCUACCGAGGUUCUUACGGGUGACGGGGAAUCAGGGUUCGAUUCCGGAGAGGGAGCCUGAGAAACGGCUACCACAUCCAAGGAAGGCAGCAGGCGCGCAAAUUACCCAUUCCCGACGCGGGGAGGUAGUGACGAAAAAUAACAAUGCAGGACUCGUUCGAGGCCCUGUAAUUGGAAUGAGUACACUUUAAAAGCUUUAACGAGUAUCCAUUGGAGGGCAAGUCUGGUGCCAGCAGCCGCGGUAAUUCCAGCUCCAAAAGUAUAUAUUUAAGUUUGUUGCGGUUAAAAAGCUCGUAGUUGGAUUUUGGGCGCAGGCGGCCGGUCCGUCGCAAGGCGUGUACUGGACGUCCUGGCCUUCCCUCCGGUUCUCCGCCGGUGCUCUUGACUGAGUGUCGGCGGCGGCCGGAACGUUUACUUUGAAAAAAUUAGAGUGUUCAAAGCAGGCUCUCGAGCCUGGAUAAUGGUGCAUGGAAUAAUGGAAUAGGACCUCGGUUCUAUUUUGUUGGUUUUCGGAGCGCGAGGUAAUGAUUAAGAGGGACAGACGGGGGCAUUCGUACUGUGCCGUUAGAGGUGAAAUUCUUGGAUCGGCGCAAGACGAACGACUGCGAAAGCAUUUGCCAAGAAUGUUUUCUUUAAUCAAGAGCGAAAGUCAGAGGUUCGAAGACGAUCAGAUACCGUCCUAGUUCUGACUAUAAACGAUGCCAACUAGCGAUCGGGGGGCGUUACAUUGACGACCCCUCCGGCAGCUUACGGGAAACCAAAGUCUUUGGGUUCCGGGGGAAGUAUGGUUGCAAAGCUGAAACUUAAAGGAAUUGACGGAAGGGCACCACCAGGAGUGGAGCCUGCGGCUUAAUUUGACU